CCUACGGGUGGCAGCAGUGAGGAAUAUUGGUCAAUGGGCGUAAGCCUGAACCAGCCAAGUCGCGUGAGGGAUGAAGGUUCUAUGGAUCGUAAACCUCUUUUAUAAGGGAAUAAAGUGCGGGACGUGUCCCGUUUUGUAUGUACCUUAUGAAUAAGGAUCGGCUAACUCCGUGCCAGCAGCCGCGGUAAUACGGAGGAUCCGAGCGUUAUCCGGAUUUAUUGGGUUUAAAGGGAGCGUAGGGGGCCUUUUAAGUCAGCGGUGAAAGUCUGUGGCUCAACCAUAGAAUUGCCGUUGAUACUGGGAGGCUGGAGUGUGUUUGAGGCAGGGGGAAUGCGUGGUGUAGGGGUGAAAUGCUUAGAUAUCACGAAGAACCCCGAUUGCGAAGGCAGCUUGCUAAUCCAUGACUGACGCUGAGGCGCGAAAGCGUGGGGAUCAAACAGGAUUAGAUACCCGUGUAGUC
rnacentral:rRNA from 1 species